AGGUCACGAAACAGAUUCCUGGGAGCAGCAGGCUCUGGAGUGGUGUGAAUUGCUGAUCUUCAGCCACUUGCCAGUGUUUCACGUCUUGGAGAGAUGAGCACUGCAAGGGGACUGGAAAAUGUCUGCCUGUCUUCAGAGAGAGAAGCUGACUGCUGUGUUGUGAUGCUCUGCCUUGCAGCAGCUGCUGCCAUGGUCAUGGCAGGAACAUGUUGAUGCUUCCAGAAGUAGGAAGCUGACCUGACAGGUUGCAGAGGAGCCUCAGGUUGUCCUGAACUCUGCUGGGUCAGGUUUACUGCAGAGCCAGCCUUGGAUUUGUACCAUUUUAACUCCCUUCUAGCACUAAUAUAAGGAAAUGAUGUAUUCUUGGAAGUGAUUAAAAUUCAGGUUAUAUUUCUGACGCUGUUGGUUCUAGUUUUCUGGUGAAGUUAUAGCAUGAGAAAAUACAGCCUGGUCUACCCAUGCUUACAAGGGGAUGAAGUAGCCUUUGUUUCUAUCUUAAUAUAUUGCAGUGUUUCUUGCAGUGCUAGAUGUGUGCUGCUUUCCAACCCAGAGGGGUCUAUAUUUCAGCAUGAGUGCGGUGAUCCAUAUACUGUUAUUAUCACACCAUGCAACACAAUCUCUAAAGCGCCUUGGGGUCCAUCUCUCUUGGAUGAAAAGCAUUAUAAAAAUGAAAGUCGUAAACAGGAGCUUUGUAAACUAAAGGACGUAAAUAUUAAAGGAGCAAAGCUAACAAGUCCAGUAGAACGUCAGGUAAUUUUAAAUGUUUUACAUUGUAUAAGCAUUAUAUUUUUAUUUUAAAUAGGGAAAAAACAAAACAAAACAAAAAAAGGUGAAAGUAAAAAUUGUUGUAAUAUUUAGCUAAAUAAUCAGGAGAAAUCUUGCAUUUGAGGGGAUAGCAUGAGAUGAAACUAAUAGAAACUUUCCCUUGGUUUAAGAAUUAACCCUACUUACACAAUAAUUUUUAUUUCAGUAAGAUGGCUUGUUUUAGUUGCAGCUGUUACGAUUUCUCAGGAUCUAUAUUUGCUCAUGUUUGAGAUGUUUUUCAGUUGGAAGGGAUUUUAAAAAAAUGUAUUUUUUUUUUGUGCUUAUUUGGAAGUAUGUGAACAUGAAAGCAUGAAUUGAACUUAAAAUCCAUUUUUC
rnacentral:lncRNA from 1 species